GGUCUUAAAAUUAGGUAAAUACAACCUCAGAUGAACAACAACACAUGUGUGUUGUCAUGUGUUGUUGUUCAUCUGAGGUUGUAUUUACCCAAUUUUAAGA